rnacentral:rRNA from 1 species
UGCAGUCGAACGGUAGCACAGAGAGCUUGCUCUUGGGUGACGAGUGGCGGACGGGUGAGUAAUGUCUGGGAAACUGCCCGAUGGAGGGGGAUAACCACUGGAAACGGUGGCUAAUACCGCAUAAUCUCGCGAGAGCAAAGUGGGGGACCUUCUGGCCUCACGCCAUCGGAUGUGCCCAGAUGGGAUUAGCUUGUUGGUGAGGUAAAGGCUCACCAAGGCGACGAUCCCUAGCUGGUCUGAGAGGAUGACCAGCCACACUGGAACUGAGACACGGUCCAGACUCCUACGGGAGGCAGCAGUGGGGAAUAUUGCACAAUGGGCGCAAGCCUGAUGCAGCCAUGCCGCGUGUAUGAAGAAGGCCUUCGGGUUGUAAAGUACUUUCAGCGGGGAGGAAGGUGAUGUGGUUAAUAACCGUAUCAAUUGACGUUACC